rnacentral:tRNA from 1 species
GGAAAUAGCUCAGUGGUAAAGUGCAUGCUUAGCAUGCACAAGGUCCUGGGUUCAGUUCCCAGUACUUCCA